GACGAACGCUGGCGGCGUGCCUAAUACAUGCAAGUUGAGCGCUGAAGGUUGGUACUUGUACCAACUGGAUGAGCAGCGAACGGGUGAGUAACGCGUGGGGAAUCUGCCUUUGAGCGGGGGACAACAUUUGGAAACGAAUGCUAAUACCGCAUAAAAACUUUAAACACAAUUUUUAAGUUUGAAAGAUGCAAUUGCAUCACUCAAAGAUGAUCCCGCGUUGUAUUAGCUAGUUGGUGAGGUAAAGGCUCACCAAGGCGAUGAUACAUAGCCGACCUGAGAGGGUGAUCGGCCACAUUGGGACUGAGACACGGCCCAAACUCCUACGGGAGGCAGCAGUAGGGAAUCUUCGGCAAUGGACGAAAGUCUGACCGAGCAACGCCGCGGGAGUGAAGAAGGUUUUCGGAUCGUAAAACUCUGUUGGUAGAGAAGAACGUUGGUGAGAGUGGAAAGCUCAUCAAGUGACGGUAACUACCCAGAAAGGGACGGCUAACUACGUG
rnacentral:rRNA from 1 species